CAGUCGCCACGGGAAUACGGAGGGAGCGAGCGUUGUUCGGAGUUACUGGGCGUAAAGCGUAUGUAGGCGGUUUUUUAAGACAGAUGUGAAAUCCCAGAGCUUAACUUUGGAACUGCAUUUGUGACUGGAAGACUCGAGUGUCGGAGAGGUUGGCGGAAUUCCUAGUGUAGCAGUGAAAUGCGCAGAUAUUAGGAGGAACACCGAUGGCGUAAGCAGCCAACUGGACGAUUUCUGACGCUGAGAUACGAAAGUAUGGGGAGCAAACAGGAUUAGAUACCCCUGUAGUCCCUGUCUCUUAUAC
rnacentral:rRNA from 1 species